rnacentral:rRNA from 1 species
GAUGAACGCUGGCGGCGUGCUUAACACAUGCAAGUCGAACGGUGAAGGUGGAGCUUGCUCCGCCGGAUCAGUGGCGAACGGGUGAGUAACACGUUGGCAACCUGCCCCUGACUUCGGGAUAACUCCUCGAAAGAGGUGCUAAUACCGGAUACGAAUCCUGCAGGCAUCUGCGGGAUUGGAAAGUUUUUCGGUCAGGGAUGGGCCCGCGGCCUAUCAGCUUGUUGGUGAGGUAGUGGCUCACCAAGGCGACGACGGUUAGCCGGCCUGAGAGGGAGACCGGCCACACUGGGACUGAGACACGGCCCAGACUCCUACGGGAGGCAGCAGUGGGGAAUAUUGCGCAAUGGGCGAAAGCCUGACGCAGCAACGCCGCGUGAGGGAUGACGGCCUUCGGGUUGUAAACCUCUUUCAGCAGGGAAGAAGCGAAAGUGACGGUACCUGCAGAAGAAGCACCGGCUAACUACGUGCCAGCAGCCGCCGUAA